CAAAAUCGGAAAGUAUCAUCCUUCUCAUUCCCUUUUUUUCUCAUGUACAUGUGCAAGCUUUUCACACUUCUCAUAUUCACCUCAUCACACUCACUCACACAAUUCCACUCACCAAAUAUCGUAACAUAUUCUCACAUGGUUUUCACCAAUUUCCUACAGACUUCUCAAACUCACACACUUGAAUCUUAACCUAGUUAUUCCCUAUAAAUUCUAAGAGAAAUGAGAAGAUGGGGAAGCCACAAAAUUGCCACAGAAAAAUCACCAUCACAUUUCAAUUCUAUAACCAUUCAUCCACACAAAAACCACCUCACUGCAUUUUCUCUUCCAUCUCAAACCAACUUUCAUAUAACUUAUUCUUCUUCUUUAUUCUUCACCACCUUAUUUUCAUUCAUCUUCAACCUACCACCUUACCAUAAUAAGAAUCAAUAUAACCAAAAAAGAAAAGAAGUGAAAAAGAGGUGAACAAAAGCAUCACUAACAACACUCACGGUCCACUCACCUCCAUCUUAUCACAAACCAUCACCUUAUUCUCUUCACCACUAUCUUCCAACCAACUCCUUCUUCUCAGCACCAUUAGUAAACUCAUAACAACCUCAUCUACAACAAAUCAUGCCAACCGAAAACUCCUCCAUCUUCAUUCUUAUAACUCAUCUACCCUCACUAUCUCAAUUCACUCCAUAAACCAUACCAACCAAGCCUUGCUUUAUAACCUUGUACAACCUUUAUAACAACACAAACUCUGUAAAAAUAACACAACAACAACACUUAUAAAUCUGCAGGAAAAAAAGAAGAAGAAGAGAAAGGAAGUGAUACAAAAUAGAAAAAGAAGAAGCAUUCGAUCGAAAAAACGUAUAAGCAGAACCACUGCGUCGGCCCACUGUUCAUCAUCACUUCGCCAGAAAUGUCGGUCGUGCGUCGUAACACCGCCAUGAGCCUCCAUACGAACCAACCAUCACUAUCGUCCAAAGUCGACUUCAGCGAAGCCAGCACCGCGAUUUUUCCUUUAUUGCAAAAACCAUUGCACGUCCACCUAUUUACCACGGGAUCUGCAACUCACGAUAACUCAUUUCCCCCUUUGUUCAUACCUUCCAUUUAUGAUUUUCGCUAUUUUUUGUUAUGCUAUUAAGCAUAGAGAAGAAGAUGACUUCGAGAAAGAGAGAGAGAGAGAGAGAGAGAGAGAGAGAGAAUCAAAUAAUAUGUUCUUUUAUGUUAUUUGUUAUAUUUGUGUUGUUUUUUUAAGUAUUAUUUUUUUCCAAAAUGACUCGUGUCAAUCCCCAGAUGGAUGACGUUUUUUUAAAAUGGAGGGAUCCUAUAUAGAAUCCCCCAUUAGGGUCUAUCGUGUACCCUCUUUUGUGAUCACGAGAUUAUGUUCUCAUAGCCCAUACCGUUUGAUCUUGAGCCCAUAUCAUAACCAUCAGAUCAAUUUGAUGGUCACGAGCAUUCAGGCCCUCAUGGCCUUAUUUUUUUAAUUUUAAUUAUUGGGCCUAGAGUGUUUGGGCCUUGCUGUUUUGCUGGAUCUCACCCCUCUUUCUUUUUUCUGCACCCCUUACUUUGCUUUGUUUUGCUAUUUCUUUAUCUUUUUAUUUUAUUUGGGCUUUAGUCCCAUUAGAUAUUUACUCUCACUCCACCAUUGUAUUGAUAGUGCAAUCCGC
rnacentral:lncRNA from 1 species